AACUUCACCUCGCCACUCCGCCACCACGAGCUGAGAAGGAAAGAAGGGUGUGCGGCGCGCGUCCUGCAGGUAUUGGCGCUGCAUGAGUGUAUAUACUGCUACAGGGCGGGCCACGGAGGACAGGAGGACCCGCCUGACGAAGGAUAAGAGAAAUUUGGCAAGGUGUGCGCGUUGGUGCUGCUGCUGCGGCCGCAGUCAACUUCCUGCCGUGGUGUGAACAGCGCCACUGACAUCAUCUACUCGUCUCUACCCUGAUCUGACAUGAGCUGAGUUGGUGCGUCAAGGUGAAGGAUGUGCAGGUGUGCCGUUAAGUUGGCAGUCUUACUGAAGCCACAUUCCAGGUGCUGCCACUACUAGUAUCCCUCGCCUCGCCUGUCUGUCACAUUGCUGAGCCAUCCAUGGACUUCAGCAGCAGUCUAAGGAAGGAAGAGAGAAGACGGCAUUCUCAUCACCCCUUGCUUCUGUAUCUGUUUUGUCUGUGUUCUGACAACAACCCAACAGAAAUGACGAACCAAAAGACCACCCCCUCCUAUAUAUUGUUAAAAAGACCCCCUCCUAUAUAUAUCUUUAAUAUAUAUUUCUAAAAUUUCACC